GCACGUACCAUACCCUAAGGUUAAAAAGACCCCAACGACCGGGUCACGGUGUGCCAACAGCCUGGACAAGGGGAACACACACAAGAAGAUAUACUUACCCUGACUCUAGUAGCUUCACCACACAUGACAUACCACAUCAAAGAAACUACCAGGGUCAAAGCAGAACGUUACCCUCACAUGUUACCCGAUAACCACACAGGGAAGCUAAGUCAAU